rnacentral:rRNA from 1 species
UACGUAGGGACCGAGCGUUGUCCGGAAUUACUGGGCGUAAAGCGCGUGUAGGCGGAUGAGCAAGUCUGCUGUGAAAGCUCCUGGCUUAACCGGGAGUGGUCGGUGGAAACUGCUCGUCUCGAGUCCGGAAGAGGUGAGUGGAAUUCCGAGUGUAGAGGUGAAAUUCGUAGAUAUUCGGAGGAACACCAGUGGCGAAGGCGGCUCACUGGUCCGGUACUGACGCUGAGGUGCGAAAGCGUGGGGAGCAAACAGG